ensembl:lncRNA
AUCCGGCAUCGGCGGACUCUCCUCCCGGUGAGGACGGGACCGGAAAACACAUCCAGAAGAACGAAGGAAAAGCUGCGCUCCGAGCAGCCGAUCACUUCACUUAUUUUUGUUUCACUUAAUCGAUACGGUGGGGGGCUGGUGUGCUACGGAGCGACCCUCCGGACUUUCUCCCGGGGGAAGUUGAUCCAGAGUAAGUGCGCCAUGUUCCCGCAGCCAAGCUUCUCCCCGGAGCGGCUUCUCUGUCCGGUGAGGGAGGCGGGGAUCCGGUCUGCUCCACGGCCAGCCUGCAGCAAGGUUUCAAUUACCCGGAUGACAUCACAGGGGAGUUGUGUUACCUGACAGGUCCUCAUGACAGGUCCUCAUCACAAGUCCUCAUGUCAGGUCCUCAAUACAGGUCCUCAUCACAAGUCCUCAUGUCAGGUCCUCAUCACAAGUCCUCAUCACAAGUCCUCAUCACAGGUCCUCAUCACAAGUCCUC